CGGCGUUGAGAUCCAGAAGGAGGCAGCGGAUGGGGAGAUGAGGAAUUGCAGAGAUUCAGAGCAAAUCGAUGCAAGUUUGCUAACAUAUGAGGAGAACCUUGCUUUGGAGAUGUUGACGUUUGACCACCACCACUGUCCAGGAGGUCUCUCGAGAUGACAGACCACACCAUAUCCAUGUCUGUUUAUGUGCACAUGAAAAAGGGUGGUGGCGACGAAGAGGAGCACGUGGGACCCCCUUCUCCGCCUGGUGAUAAGACCAGGGAUGGACUCAUUAGCGUCAACCAUGUGAAGAUGAUUAGAAAUUUGACUGGAGUAAAGCUUCUUCAUGGGUGCUUUGUGGCAUUACAAGAGCAAUGCUAUUGCCAUCACAUUCGGGAAUCGUUCCCGAAGAGUGAACUGACCAGAUGCAAGGUACAAUGAACUGAAAGAACAAGGGCAUUCUCAUCAAAGGAGGACCAGGACGUCGAGUUAAGAUGGGCUGCCUCUGAUUCGCCUUGUUGCGAUUGGGAUGCCUCGCCUCCUUGACACCCUCCUUGAGACUAAACAUGAGGCAAGGUAAUUGCAGGAGUUGAUGAUAUGUAUCGUCCAGCACCGUUACUUGAGGCUUGAGUCUCAGUUUGAUCUUACAGUUCUACGGCUCAAAGGUUGAUGACUGCCAUGAGGCACUACCCAGUUAAAUCUUCGGAUCAAAGAAUAACAGAUCUGGGUCUUCGUCUUCCAAGAUUAGAAGGGGGAAACCAUCGCUCACUCUCCAUAUGCUUUAAAAGCAAAUCUCAAGUGCAUUGCCUAUACAAAAAUAAUUUUGUGGUCAUCUAUCUCACAAACUAUUCACAUCAAGUUCAUAUGGAAUGGCACUCACGGAGGCAACUGAACCAAGCUAUCUAUUGUAUGCCUAACUAUGGCUUCGUAGUUUUAUCGCCUCCAUUGCCAUUGUUAGCUAAUUAGUUUUUCUAUUUGUAUGACUGUAGUGGAUGCUGCCUUGCUUCUGGCACGGGUUAACUUUGAUCGUCUCAUGCCCAUGUUUAACUUGAUGAUGUUACUCUUCUGGCACAUAUUGAAUGUUUCUUUUUACUCUUGAACCGGCCAGA